AUGCCGAUGGAAUCUUCAGUGGAUCUUUGGAGUUGGGUUUCAAUGGACAGAGGUUCCUUGCCUUUGACGCAGAGAGUGGAAAGUAUAAAGUGGAUAAUCCCAGAGAUGAACUGAUGAAAGAGAACUGGGAGAAUAAUGAGGAAGUGACCAAGUGCUUCAAAGUUUUCCUCCAGGGAGACUGCAAGGAAUGGCUUAAAUUCUUGGUGCGCAAGAAGAAAGAGCUGGAGACAACAGCUGCUCCAGCCAUGGCUUCCGCCCCAGCCACGCCACCCACAGUUUCAGCCACACCAACCACGGCCCUAGGCGCAGCUCGGUCCAAGGCCACGACCAACAGGCCUGUCACUUCACUCAUCCCUCUGAUCCUCACCUGCUUGAUCACUGGCUGUGUUCUGUUACAGUAACAGGCUGACGAUGCUACCCAGAAGCACCCAUAGUGUGGUCUCCCUCAGUGAUGCUGCCUUUCCAAAACUUCCCGGUCCAGGGACCACCAUCACAUUGUUCAUUGCAUUUGCUAUUGUCCUUUUAGGUGCUG